AGGGCCUGAAAUAUUGAUAACCCCAGGCGAGGGCCACCUCCAGCACACUCUGCAGGGGGUCCAGACCAGGACCAUCAGAGAAGGUGAUCUGGAGCUUCAUAAACCUGGAGACUGUAUGGAGUGACCUUGUCAAAGAGACCCAGAAGAAUCGCCAUGGAGACAGCAUCCAGCGAGCUUACUGUGGAGGUGUGAUUGGAGGAGAGCAACUUUGUAUUUCAGCUCCAUCAGGGGUAAAGAGUGUAAGAAGGCACUCAACGGACUCAAGGUCAAGAUGAGAGACCCACGGAGUGGAAUAGGAAAUGGGGACAGGGUAAGAGGGACAGGAGUGCAAGCAGAGGUGAGAGCAAUAUAACUUGAGACAUUCAGAGAGAGAGAGGGAGUUGUAAAGUUGAACUCAAGGACAUAUUGUUGCACUUGUUACCUCUUGGAUUGACCAGCAGAAUGAGCUUUUUACGUUACAAAUGUAGCACAGUUACACAUCUCAUAGCUGCACUCUUUCUACACACAUGUAAACUCACACAGACACAUUUGCACACUUCAGAGCACGAUGCAAUCCUCCCAAUCCAAUUAAUACAGUAAAAUCCUGAGAACAUUGCUUUCACUUUUUAAUGAGUCUAUUUGAAUUUCAGAACAGCAAAGUGUAAUUUGUGCAACUGUGUGCAUUUGUUGACCCCUGAAAAGUGUGUGUGCUGUAAGGAUUUGUUUACCCUG